ACCAGCAGGAGGGGCCAGAGAACCAUCAGUGGGGGCCAGACAGCCAGCAGCUAGAAGCUCCAGAAGAGGCUGAAACAUCAGAGCGAAUAUCCAAGACAAAGAAAAAGCCAAGCAUCUGGAAGAAAAUUAGGAUGAGUCAACAAGUGAUGAGCCAGAUCAACCAAUCAACGUCACUGCAGCUGUUCUACCCACCACCCCCACUGCUCUUCCUCCACCACCAACCUCAUCCUCUUCUCCUGUUCAACUCAUUUGUCGCCCCACUAGAAAGGACUGUACAUACAAUUGAAGUCGGAAGUUUAAAUACACUUAGGUCGUUAAAACUAAUUUUUCAACCACUCCACAAAUUUCUUGUUAACAAACUAUAGUUUUGGCAAGAUGUUUAGGACAUCUAAAGUUAUUUUUUCCCAAAAAAUGUGCCGACAGAUUAUUUCACUUAUGAUUAACUGUAUCACAAUUUCAGUGGGUCAGAAGUUUACAUAAACUAAGUUUAAUGUGCAUUUAAACAGCUUGGAAAAUUCCAGAAAAUUAUGUCAUGGCUUUAGAAGCUUCUGAUAGGCUAAUUGACAUAAUUUGAGGCAAUUGGAGGUGUACCUGUGGAUGUAUUUCAAGGCCUACCUUAAAACUCAGUGCCUCUUUGCUUGACAUCAUGGGAAAAUCGAAAGAAAUCAGCCAAGACCUCAGGAAAAAAAAUUGUAGACCUCCACAAGUCUGGUUCAUCCUUGGGAGCAAGUUCCAAACGCCUGAAGGUACCACAUUCAUCUGUACAAACAAU
rnacentral:lncRNA from 1 species